rnacentral:rRNA from 1 species
GACGAACGCUGGCGGCGUGCCUAAUACAUGCAAGUCGAACGCUGAAGGAGGAGCUUGCUUCUCUGGAUGAGUUGCGAACGGGUGAGUAACGCGUAGGUAACCUGCCUGGUAGCGGGGGAUAACUAUUGGAAACGAUAGCUAAUACCGCAUAAUAGUAGAUGUUGCAUGACAUUUGCUUAAAAGGUGCAAUUGCAUCACUACCAGAUGGACCUGCGUUGUAUUAGCUAGUUGGUGAGGUAACGGCUCACCAAGGCGACGAUACAUAGCCGACCUGAGAGGGUGAUCGGCCACACUGGGACUGAGACACGGCCCAGACUCCUACGGGAGGCAGCAGUAGGGAAUCUUCGGCAAUGGACGGAAGUCUGACCGAGCAACGCCGCGUGAGUGAAGAAGGUUGUCGGAUCGUAAAGCUCUGUUGUAAGAGAAGAACGAGUGUGAGAGUGGAAAGUUCACACUGUGACGGUAGCUUACCAGAAAGGGACGGCUAACUACGUG